UACAGUACAGCCGCCGCCGCCACAACUGCACCUUUCUUUCCUCCUACUCCGUCUUCUUGCCAUCUGGUUUUUUUCGUCACCCGCUGUAGCCUACUGCCAUUUCCUUCCUCUUUCUUCUUCUUCUUCUUCCCCAUUCUUCUCCUUUCUCUCCGUUUCGAUUUUUCCUUUAACUUCUUCCUUCAACAUCUUGAACCCGCUCCUGCUUUGAGGGCGCCGACCUUCGUGUUCGGGGGCGACGAACCCUCCGGUUCUCUGUGUAGCUCCGCGGCGCGCUGAUUGUGAAACUGCCUGCUGGAUAUGAUUUGCAUUUGGAACCUAUCUGUUGAGCUUGAACUUAUAUAUCAGUGUGGUUACCCUUCCAUUGAUCUGUAAAAUCGGGAAUUCUAUCCGGCUUGAACUCAGAAGAUCUUUACUAGUUCCCAAUGACUUUGCGCAAAGCCCCACAUCCUCGACUUCUCCUCAACAACGUUUCCUGCAUGAGAAAUGGGCAGCAGAUUCAUCGCCACGUGAAUGUCUCCCUCCACGACGGAGGAGCUCUGGUCCUAUCCGGCCCCAAUGGAUCUGGAAAAACUACGCUUUUGCGCAUGUUAGCUGGCUUCAACAAACCUUCUGCUGGCGAAGUUCUUUGGAACGGGCAUGACAUAACUAAAUCUGGCAUUUUUCAUCAGUACAAGCUUCAGCUGAACUGGUUAUCCCUCAGAGAUGCCAUCAAGGAUAAGUUCACAGUUCUCGACAACGUCCUGUGGUAUGAACUGAUAGAAAGCAAGCAGGGGAAGUCGAUGCCGGCGCUGGAGCUUAUGGGGUUAGGAAGAUUGGCGAAAGAGAAAGCGAGAAGGCUGUCCAUGGGUCAGAGGAAAAGGCUGCAGCUUGCUCGGCUGUUGGCGAUUGAUAGGCCAAUUUGGCUGCUCGAUGAGCCUUCUGUAGCAUUGGAUGAUGAAGGGGUGGAAUUGCUGGAGUACAUUAUUAGGGAGCAUAGGAAGAAGGGGGGAAUUGCCAUUGUUGCGACGCAUCAGCCUGUUAAAAUGGAAGAUGCGAUGAUUCUGAAACUGCCUGCGAGGUUCCCCGGAAGGAUGACUUUUGUGGAUAUGCUCGACCGUGAUAAACUUGAGGUGGAUUGAUUAAAGCAGGUGUUUUGUGACUUGUUCUAUGCUAUAUAUCAUCAGCAGCCAUAAAUUUUUGAAGGAAUUGAAUGGAUGCUGUUUUGGCCAUUGUAUCAUCCAUUGGAAGGCAAGAGGACAAACUCCACAGGUAAAUUCAAUUUAUUUAUAUUUAUAUUUUUAUAGUUACUGGAAUUUGCAAGAAAUUUAGGUUUCAGUCUUGUACCUACUUUUGGUUAUAAAUUCAGUUUAUUGUUGAGAGAUGAUUAUUUGUUUUAGUUGAUAUUGGUUACAAUCUGAAUUGUGCUUAUUCUUGAGAGUAGAGUAGAUCAUUGGUUAGUACACUUAGGUAGUGUUUGUCUGUGUUUUGAUUUUUCACAGUUGAAUUUAUAAUUAUUAAAAAUAUAUGUUAUACUCCUGUCU